ACUUGACUGGCUCAGUCAGUAGAGCAUGUGACUCCUGAUCCUGAGGUUGUGAGGUCGAGCCCCAUGUUGGGUA
rnacentral:tRNA from 1 species